CAGCCAUAUCUCGUUGAAAUACCAGUUCCCAUUCUAUCACCGAAGUUAAGCAAUGUCGAGCCUGGUCAGUACCUAGAUGGGUGACCACUUGGGAAUAUCAGAUGCUGUAAG